rnacentral:lncRNA from 1 species
AAAGGCUGAAGGUAGAAAACUCUGGAAUGGAGAGGCUGGCGACUGGAGCAGGAUCCAGGGGCUUUAAAUUUUAACCUGAAUGCGAUCGAAUGCGCGACUCCCAGAAGAGAUAGCCAGGCGUCCGCCCGGCCGCUCAACCCCCGCCAGGACUCGGAAUGCCUUGCUUUUGGUUCUUUUCCCUGUUAUCUAGGCCACCCAAUGACCGACGAAAGAUUUUCCCUCCCUGCUUCUCCCGUGGCCGCUUUAAACCAAAUAAAUUUAGCUAUUAAGGGCCAAGAUGUCUGACAAAAGAUCGAAAGGUGUCUUUCCGUGAUCGCUUAAAGAAGCGAAGGAGAAGCUUGCGGCUCUCAAAUCCCGAUAAAGAAAUUCCGCGCCGGCGCCGGCCUCCCUCCCCGCGGCCUGGUUGCUCCCUGACGCCCUGAGACCCCGACUUCGGCGGCCGCAGACCUCGGACGGGCCCGGCGGGACCUGUGGCUGCCGCCUGGGGAAGGUGGAGGUCCCCGGGCUGCGGGGCCAGGGAGUGCCAGGCCCUAGGAGACGGGCGGACAAGGGGGUCCCCGGGAGCUCUGGAGCUCCAGGUGGGAGCUGGGUAUCCUAAAACGGCCCCCGUGCACUUCGCGGAAAAACUAAGCCAAGCUCAGGGGGCCGAAAUUACCACUCCGUUUUGAUUAUUUUCUGAUACUAAAUAAUAAAGAUAAAACCAAACUGCC